CAGUCUGUUCUUCAUUGUUCUGCUAUUCCACCUGUAAGCGAUCUGACAUGAACCAAGUGGAUAUUAUGGACACAGUAUAUAUAUAUAUUUUUAACGACACACUUCAGUCUUUGUGUAAGCCCUACCGACCCUUAGUAGAAUGAGUAUCCCUGACUGUGGGCUUUGGAGGCGGGUUAUCCGGGGAUAUUGUCUUUGGAGUUGAACCUUGUUCUACAAACGCUCUCCCCAGUGCAUGCUCGCCAACAGCGACACCGCGAAGCCCUAAAGGGAAGGCUUGCUUUAUUUGACUUUCCCUUCUCAUUCAACGACAGCUUUCCAAGACUGCUAUGACGUCUCGCAGGUGGUUCCACCCCAACAUCACCGGAAUCGAGGCAGAGCAGCUCCUCUUGACCCGGGGGGUCCAUGGCAGUUUCCUAGCUCGGCCGAGCAAGAGCAACCCGGGAGAUUUUACUCUCUCUAUCAGGCGGAACAAUGAGGUCACCCACAUUAAGAUCCAGAAUUCAGGGGACUACUACGACCUGUAUGGAGGGGAGAAGUUUGCCACGCUGGCAGAGCUGGUGCAGUACUACACAGAGCAGCACGACCUUCUCAGAGAGAGGAACGGAGACGUCAUCGAGCUCAAGUACCCACUCAACUGUAAGGACCCAACCUCCGAGAGGUGGUACCACGGGCACCUGUCUGGGCGUGACGCUGAGAAGCUGCUCAUGGACAAGGGCAAGCCUGGCAGUUUCCUGGUACGGGAGAGCCAGAGCAAACCAGGUGACUUUGUGCUCUCUGUCCUCACCAACGAGGAGAAGCACGAGAACGUAGACCGCAAGACCAAGGUCACCCAUGUCAUGAUUCGCUACCAGCAGGAUGGGAAGUAUGACGUAGGUGGAGGAGAGAGGUUUGACACGCUGGCUGACCUGGUGGAUCACUACAAGAAGAACCCCAUGGUGGAGAAGAGUGGAAUUGUUGUUCACCUCAAACAGCCCUUCAAUGCCACCAGGAUAAAUGCAGCCAACAUUGAGAACAGGGUGAAGGAACUGAACAAAGUGGCAGACAACUCAGAGAAGCCCAAACAGGGAUUCUGGGAAGAGUUUGAGGUGCUACAGCAGCAGGAGUGUAAGCUCCUCUACCCCAGGAAAGAAGGGCAGAGAGCAGAGAACAAGAGUAAAAACAGAUACAAGAACAUCCUCCCUUUUGACACCACACGGGUGGAGAUCAGGGAAGCAGACACAGAUGUGCCUGGCUCCGACUACAUCAACGCCAACUACAUCAGAGUGAGUUCUGGAAGUAGUAUGCAUGAAGAGGGCCGCCACGUGGAGGAGGGCAAGGUGUUCAUCGCCACCCAGGGCUGCCUUCAGAACACGGUGGUGGACUUCUGGAAGAUGGUCUACCAGGAAAACACACACGUCAUUGUCAUGACCACCAAGGAGAUGGAGAGAGGACGGAACAAGUGUGUGCGUUACUGGCCCGACCUCAACGCCACUAAGGAGUUUGGGAAAGUGAGUGUGAAGAACGUGGAGGAGUGUCCGGCUCAAGACUACAUCCUAAGGGAAUUGGAGGUGACGCGUUUGGACAGGAGGGAGCUGGUGCGGUACAUCUGGCACUACCAGUAUCUGAGCUGGCCUGACCAUGGCGUGCCCAACGAGCCUGGGGGAGUGCUCAGCUUCCUGGAGCAGGUCAACCGCACGCAGAGCGCCAUUCCAGACACCGGACCAAUUGUGGUCCACUGCAGUGCAGGAAUUGGGAGAACAGGCACCAUAAUUGUCAUUGACAUUCUCAUUGACAUCAUCAACAGACAAGGAUUAGACUGUGACAUCGACAUCCCUAAGACCAUCCAGAGGGUUCGUCAGCAGCGGUCAGGCAUGGUGCAGACGGAGGCCCAGUAUAAGUUCAUCUACAUGGCCGUCCAGCAGUACAUUGACACGGCACAGAAGAGACUGGAGGAGGAGCAGAGGAACAAAACGAAGGAGAGGGAGUACUCCAAUAUCAAAUACCCCCAGAUGACCAACGCCCGGUCAAAACCCAACAUGACCUGUGUGUCACGCUCCUCCUCUGUGGUGAUGGAUGACAACCCGUCCAGCGUGUAUGAGAACUUAAACAUCAAGAACCCAAAGACCUGCGGGAGCAGCAGUAAAACCAGGAGGUGAAGUCCAGCCACGGACCUCUGCCUCUCUCAACCUCUCUGUCCUCAUUGGUUGUGGGCCUGGGAUAUAUCCUCUGCUACCCUGUGAGCGGGCGCAGAUGGAGAGACGUUAGUUUCAACAGAGGUGCCUCUUCGCCAGCGCCUGAUUCAUGGGGGGCCUGUGGAGCUCUGGCCCCGGACCCCCUGGCGGUGGACCCUACCUGGGGUGAAGGUGGAGGUCCUGACCCCUCCUAGUCUCUCCCCUUCUGCUGCCCUGCUGGCUGUCUAGAGCAUCCCCCCUCCACAGAGAGAGGGGUGUAGCGCAGGGCUCUUGUCCUUCUAUCAUCAUCCCCCAUCCCUCUCUCUCUCUCUCUCUCUCUCUCUCUAUGACCUCCACAUGACUUCAUGUCUCUUCUACAGGCUCUACCGUUUACUGACAGUGCCUUGUCUACAGACGUGUCUGUAACCCCCUUCCUCCUCCCACAGUUGUUCCCACCACCCAAACCCCCUAUCUAUCAACCAUCCCACCAGCCCAACAAAUGUCCUUUGCUUAUUUCUGUUGACUCAAACUAAAUCGAGAAAAGAAACAAACCAUUGUGUACUCUUGUGUGAUAUCAAUGUUUAAAUGUUUAAGUGAUGCUUUUCUCUGUCGUGUUCCGUCGUGAGGUGGAUGGGACAAGAAAGAUUUCGAGAAUAUUUCUCUUCUCGCUCUCAGAAUUUGCUCCUCUAUCUAUCUCUCUCUCUCUCUCUCUGCUGGCUCUCAUCUACUUGAAUCAAAGACUUCAGCAAUGUUCUAUUCUUGCUAGCAGCAGUCAUUACUGCAGUGUUGAGCGAUUUUACCACGUGAGGCACUGGCGCAGACAAGCUUACUCAACCCUCUCUCAUACCUUAAUUUUGAAAGUCGAGGAAAGUCAGGGUAUUCGCAAUGGCCCUUUGUCAGUGAGUUGGGCUAAAAAAAAUCAAAUACCCCAACUCACUGACAAAGGGAUUUUCCAUUUGCCACAAAGAUAUUUUCCAUUUCUGUACAGGGAAGUAUUUCUUCAAUAUAAUUUGAGAUGUACUUGUUUGUCCCACCUGUCCCACCGAUGAUCUCUUGUGCCAAUAGAAGACGUGCAUGCUCAUCUACUUUCGGGAUUCCACCAUUGCAGUUGCUGUGCGCCUAUUCAGUCAAUAUUAACAAGCUCCUCUCCAGACUUACUUAUGAAAUGUUUCUAUUUAUUUAGUUUGAAUCUGUGUCCUUUCAAUGGAUUCUUGUUUAUUUUGUUGUUAUUAUUGGUGUGAUUUUGUAAUGCACAGUAUGUUUUUUUAUGUUUUUGUUUAUUGGGGAAAAUGAAAAAGCGGUGCGCUAUUGCCUCCAAAGGAAGAAAGAUCCAAUUCCAUUGUUAUGAAUUGACAAAAAAAGCACAAUUUUCUGCCCUGCACUUGCUCUGCAGAUCCUGGUUUAUAUGCGGGAAAUUAACAUAGUUUGAGGUCAACGUUGGCGUCAGAGAAAGUCUGCAAAGGUUUUCAUCCCGAUCGAAUGGCAUAACAAACCGUGUUAAACAUCUGCCAAGCGAGAGAUAGGAGAAGAUGGGAGAGGACAGGAGAGGAUUCAGGAUGCUAGCCUGGCUCACUGACGUGGGCUGCUAUCGCUGAAGUCUUUAGCCAAACAUUACUGGGCCAGAUGGCCUACAGCCCAAGAAUAAAUAAUAGAUUUAUCUCCAAAAAGCUAUCUACAAGAUGGCUAUAAUCCAGGCUUGACGAUGGUGGGAGUAAAAGCCGACGUUACUGAUGUCAUAAGGAGGGAGGCGCCGCACAGCAAAGAGCUGUGAUAUAUAUAUCUGUAAUAUAUUCUUAAAUAUACAUGUACAUCAUCAGCAGUGGCUUCUUUCUGACAGACGUCAUGCUAACUAUUCUUAGCAUUUUGAAUAAAAAUCUAAUGUUGAAGGUGUUCACACUGGAUUUAGCCAGCGGCACAUUGAUCCACACAUCCUUUUGAACAAGCCGGUUGUUUGGCUGCAUAGAGGUUGUGUUACCUGCUGUGUGAGUCGGGCUGUACUUGUACAUGGUUCAGGCCUUUUUAACUAAGGCUUGGCAGCACAUCUGAGGGCCGCAUUUGCUACAUCGUCUCUUGCUCAUCCUAACACCAAUGCAGUAACUUUCAGUAAUACUGAAAGUAUGAAUUUUCAGUAUUUCCCUUUUUAGCUGAAAUGUCUGUAUUUCAGAAAGCUAAAUCAGUCCUAGUAGCAUAUGUCAUUCUCAAUAUUGUAUUCAUGCUACAUUGAGUGUCACACUAUUUGUUGUUUUGGCUCUCUACACCAGCACUUUUUACCAUGAUUACGGAUAGUCCUGAAUGAAUCGUAAAUAAUGAUAAGUGAGAAAGUUAGACACAC